rnacentral:rRNA from 1 species
CUCUUGANNUCNNGAGAANUCGCUAGAGAUAGCUUAGUGCCUUCGGGAACUCUGAGACAGGUGCUGCAUGGCUGUCGUCAGCUCGUGUUGUGAAAUGUUGGGUUAAGUCCCGCAACGAGCGCAACCCUUAUCCUUGUUUGCCAGCACAUAAUGGUGGGAACUCCAGGGAGACUGCCGGUGAUAAACCGGAGGAAGGUGGGGACGACGUCAAGUCAUCAUGGCCCUUACGAGUAGGGCUACACACGUGCUACAAUGGCGUAUACAGAGGGCUGCAAACUAGCGAUAGUAAGCGAAUCCCACAAAGUACGUCGUAGUCCGGAUUGGAGUCUGCAACUCGACUCCAUGAAGUCGGAAUCGCUAGUAAUCGUGAAUCAGAAUGUCACGGUGAAUACGUUCCCGGGA